rnacentral:rRNA from 1 species
GACGAACGCUGGCGGCGUGCUUAACACAUGCAAGUCGAACGGAAAGGCCCUUCGGGGUACUCGAGUGGCGAACGGGUGAGUAACACGUGGGUGAUCUGCCCUGCACUUUGGGAUAAGCCUGGGAAACUGGGUCUAAUACCGAAUAUGACCACGCUCUUCAUGGGGUGUGGUGGAAAGCUUUUUGCGGUGUGGGAUGGGCCCGCGGCCUAUCAGCUUGUUGGUGGGGUAAUGGCCUACCAAGGCGACGACGGGUAGCCGGCCUGAGAGGGUGACCGGCCACACUGGGACUGAGAUACGGCCCAGACUCCUACGGGAGGCAGCAGUGGGGAAUAUUGCACAAUGGGCGCAAGCCUGAUGCAGCGACG